rnacentral:rRNA from 1 species
UUGACGGGGGCUCACACAAGCGGUGGAGCAUGUGGCUUAAUUCGAGGCAACGCGAAGAACUUUAUCCUGGGCUUGACAUGUACGGAUUAACCCCAUGAAAGUGGGGCCACACUCGCAAGAGCGGAACGUGCACAGGUGCUGCAUGGCUGUCGUCCGCUCGUGUCGUGAGAUGUCGCGUUAAGUCGCUAAACGAGCGAAACCCCUAUCCUUAGUUGCCAGCGCGUCAUGGCGGGGACUCUAAGGAGACUGCCGGUGUCAAACCGGAGGAAGGCGGGGAUGACGUCAAGUCCUCAUGGCC